rnacentral:lncRNA from 10 species
GAACUUCCUGUCCCUGAACAUCAGACUCCAGAUUCUUCAGCCUUUGCACUCUUGGACUUACACCAGUGGUUUGCCAGGGGCUCUUGAGCCUUUGGCCACAGACGGAAGACCACACAGUUGGCUUCCCUAAUUUUGAGGCUGUGGGACUCAGACUGAGCCACUACUGGCUUCCUUGCUCCUCAGCCUGCAAAUGACCUAUUGUGGGAUUUCUUUACCUUGUGAUCCUAGUCUCUCUCUAUCUGCUGAGCUGCCUGAAGCUAGACAUAAACACCUCUGUGGCCACUACCACUGAGACUGCACUGGGUCAGAACUGAAGCCAACACAGCACUUGGUCUCACCCAAAGCCCAGUGUAACCACUACCUGGCUACUGCUUCUGUUUGCUCAAGGCCCUAGGACUCUAUAAUCAGCAGGCAGAGGAGCCUUUCCUCGUGGCCACCACCACCAGAGACUCAAGAGAGGUACUACCAGGCUAUCACAGAUAUUCACUUAAAGACCACAAGGGCUCUUCAGUCAGCCUGUGGUGAAGCCAUCAGGCCUGCGACUCACCCUUCAGGGCAAUGGGUUCCCCUUUGGCCCAGAACAUGUUGAGAAAUGCCACCCAAGAGCCAAGGCCUAGAAUCAGGGAAGUCAAUAGCCCUCUUUGUGCUCUACCCAAUGUGGCCAAGCUGGUGCCUGAAGCCAGCAUAUCUCAGAGACUCACCCAAGGCCCAUGACUAACUAUGUAGGUAUUGCUGCUGGUUCUUCAAGGCCCAAGGGCAUUUUUGUCAGCAGGUGAUUAAUCCUGCCAGACUGGCUUCUUUCCUUAAGGUAGCAAGUUCUCAUCUGGUCUAGGGUAUGUCUAGAUAUGUUGUUCAGGAGCUAGGGCCUGGAAUGGGGGACUCAUGACUCUUCCCAGUGCCCUAUCCUAAUAUGACUGACCUGGUAACCAAGAUGCAAGACAAAGUCCCCCUUACUCUUCUUUCCCUCCUCCUCUCCUCAAGUAAAAUAAAGGAGUCAUUUUUGUUGCUGCAAGCUGUGCUGCCUGGGUUUGUCGAGGGAGAGGCACAAGCAUUCCCUUAGUCACCCUGGCUGAUGUCCCAUAUCCACUAGCUCUGAGCCCAGUAUGCUGCUAGGACUUUUUAGAAAUUGCAAGUCCUUGUAGCCUAGACUGCAUUUCAAGCGUAUUUAGGACCCCAGAGCCCCUUAGCCCUCAUGGGCAAGGCUUCCCAAAACUCAAAUUCAACCACUGGGAUGGCUAACUCCCCUCUGGCUAAAGCUGGUCUAAACGAUCCCCCCUCCAUGUGUAGGCAUCAGCUGAGUUUAGCCAUGUUUUCCUUUCUGCUGUGACAGAGCAGCACUUCAUUCACCACACUCUCCCUCACCCAAACACAUAGAUUCUCCUUGCCACAUGGCCACUGUUGGGAGUAUGGAAGAAGGGUGGCAUCAGUAAUUUAAGGCUGUUUUCCCUACCCUCUUCAGUGCCUCUUUUAGUGAUAUGAAGUUAAAACCAGGUAUUGUGAUACCUCACAUAAUUUUUCAUUCUUGUGUAUGUGCUUUUUUGUGUAGAUGUUAUAUUGGUGUUCCUAUGGGAGGGAUGAUCAAUGAAGGCUUCUAUUAGGCCAUCUUGCUCUGUCCUCUCCAUCUAGAUAUGUUUAGAUACACAGAUAUUUAACAUUGUGUUAAAAUUGCAUACACUAUAAACUCCACUUAAAACUGAUUAAAGUCUCAUUCUUGUCAAAUAAAUAAAUAAAUAAAUAAAUAAAAUUGCCUACACUGGUCAGUGCAGCAACAUGCUAUACAGGUUUGUGGCCUGGGAGCAAUCGGCUAUGUUAUAUAGCCUAAGUAUGUGGUAGGCUGUACCAUCUCAGUUUACGUAAAGUACACUCUAUAAUGUUUGCACAGCAAUGAAAUCACCUAACAAUGUAUUCCUUAAAGUGUAUCCCUGUCAUUAAGCAAUACACAAUUGUACACUUGUGUUUUUUGAAGACAUCCCACUUUUGCUUUAGUAAUAUUUGCACAUCUUUUCUGAAAGUUAAGUUGGCACUUAUUAUAAUCCUCAUUUUGUAAAUGAAAAAAAAAUGAGAGCCAGAGCAUUUUUAGGUUUUGUCUAUGGCCACAUAGUUAGCAGGUUCUGAGAAUCCAAGUGUUUUGACUCUUGGCUAAAAGUGCUUUCUGGCUCCAAACUUUAUUUUUCAAAUUUAGUAAAAACAAACUAGAAAGUAGUGAGAUAAAUGUGACAUAAUCAUUCAAGAAGUCAGUGAUGAAAGCCCUUAGGCUUUCAAAAAAUAACAGAAAGAAAUACACAGAGAGAAACCCCCUACAGAGCCAGUUCUUAUUGAAAUCCACAGAAGGAGCAUUAUCUCCAUUCCCCCUACUCCCAAUUUCAGACUCUUCCCUCUUCCUAGCCUGCAGACACACCAGUAUGAAACACUCUUCUUCUUCUGCCAAAAUUUGGAAUGAAAGAGACUGUAGUUCCUCUCUAGGGCAAGACAACUCCAAAAUGAGUGUGGUUAUCUUGUUGUCUCUAAAAGCCAAGAGAUAUGCAAAGUGUGGGGUAAUGUCAGAAGGACAUACAAAUUGACUUUUAGGGAAGCUUACUGGCCAAAAAUAGGGGCCAAACAUAACUAUCUAAAUAGUAAUAACUUCAAUGAAUUGAAACACAUCAAAACAUUAAAAAUACAUGUGUUCAUGAUCUUUUAAAAAUUCUCAUCAAAGUUGGGGUUUUCACAGGAACUAACUCAUUAUUCUGAAAAUUGGAAAAUAUCAUGUAUUUACUCUGCGUGGAUUGUAUUUCAGUGAAACCAGAAAGAGAAUAAUAAAAAGUUAUUCUUUGUAGUAUAAAUACAGCUUAUAAAUGAAGUAAGAUUGUUAUAUAAUUUUUUUCCUAAUGAAAUAAUAGCUGGAGGCAUGGCUUACACCUGUAAUUCCAGCCAGUUGGGAAGCAGAAGUGAAAGGAUCACUUGAGACUAUGAGUUUGAGACCAGCCUGGGCAAAAGAAAGACCCUACCUCAACAAAAAUAGAAAGAAAAUAAAGAAACAGUGGAUCUAGGUAUUAGUCAUGAAUGGCUGUUUAACCCUUCAGAUGAAAGCUAAUUGGGACCUUCAUUUAAAAAUGAAUUCCACUUUCAUCAUUGAAAUCUACUGUUACUAAAGGUAGGAAAAGAAAAUAUUUCAUUUCUUUUGAUAUAAUGCAAUAUGAAGCAUACAGUACCAUCUCUGCCUUGCUCUUGCUGGAGUAAAAAAAUAAUAAUAAUAAGCUUUUAUCUUGCUAAGGCUUUAGAUCCAACUGCCAGUUUUCAGGAAAAAAUGAAGCUUAGAAAAACAUGUUAAAUGAUAACCACAAAGAGUUAGCCAAAUACAAUGUGGGAAAUUCUAUAUGACAAAUGACCCAGAUUUUUGAAUAACUAACUGGCAUUUGGAAGAAAACGAUACAGAAUACAGGGUCAGUUUUAGCUUGUUAAAAGUUAAAAAGACUUUAGGGGGAUAUUAAACAAUAAUGCAUAAAAUUUGUUUGGAACCUGAUUUAAACAGAUAUUUCUGUGAAAAUUAAGGAAAAUUUAAAACAGACUUGUAUUAAGUGAUUUAAAGAUAUUUCUAAAUGACCUUUAUUGUAUUGGUUUUGAUAAGAUAUUGAAGUUGUGAUUUAAAAAAUAUCUUUGUCUGUUACAGAUAUACACUAAGUGUUUGGUUAGA